rnacentral:rRNA from 1 species
UGGGGAAUUUUCCGCAAUGGGCGAAAGCCUGAUGGAGCAAUGCCGCGUGGAGGUGGAAGGCCUACGGGUCGUCAACUUCUUUUCUCGGAGAAGAAACAAUGACGGUAUCUGAGGAAUAAGCAUCGGCUAACCCUGUGCCAG